rnacentral:rRNA from 1 species
GAUGAACGCUGGCGGCGUGCCUAAUACAUGCAAGUCGAGCGAACAGACGAGGAGCUUGCUCCUCUGACGUUAGCCGCGGGCGGGUGAGUAACAUGUGGACAACCUACCUAUUAGGCUGGGAUCACUUCGGGAAACCGGUGCUAAUACCGGCUAAUAUCUUGAAACGCAUGGUUCCAUAGUGAAAUACGGUUUUGCUGUCACCUAUUGAUGGAUCGGCGCCUGAUUAGCUAGUUGGUAGGGUAACGGCUUACCAAGGCAACGAUGAGUAGCCGGCCUGAGAGGGUGAUCGGCCACACUGGAACUGAGACACGGUCCAGACUCCUACGGGAGGCAGCAGUAGGGAAUUUUGCGCAAUGGGCGAAAGCUUGACGGAGCAACGCCGCGUGUGUGAUGAAGGUCUUCGGAUCGUAAAACACUGUUAUCAGGGAAGAACAAAUUUGUAAGAAACUAUUCACGUCUUGACGGUACCUGAUCAGAAAGCAACGGCUAACUACGUG